rnacentral:ncRNA from 1 species
CCCCCUGAAUUUAAGCAUAUUAAUUAGGGGAGGAAAAGAAACUAACCAGGAUUUUUUUAGGAGCGGCGAGCGAAAAGAAAUCAGUUCAGCACUAAGUCACUUUGUCUAUAUGGCAAACGUGAGAUGCAGUGUAUGGAGCGUCAAUAUUCUAGUAUGAGAAAUUAAGUCCUUCUUAAAUGAGGCCAUAGAGGAAUUUACCCAUAGAGGGUGCCAGGCCCGUAUAACGUUAAUGAUUACUAGAUGAUGUUUCCAAAGAGUCGUGUUGCUUGAUAGUGCAGCACUAAGUGGGUGGUAAACUCCAUCUAAAACUAAAUAUAACCAUAAGACCAAUAGUAAACAAGUUCCGAGAGGGAAAGUUGAAAAGAACUCUGAAUAGAGAGUUAAACAGUACGUGAAACUGCUUAGAGGUUAAGCCCGAUGAACCUGAAUAUCCAUUAUGGAAAAAUCAUCAUUAAAGUUGUAAUAUUUUAACAAUAUUAUAAUAAUAGUUACUUAUAGUUACUAGACUUAUAGUUUAUUCAAAUUAUUAUGCUUGCAUUUUAACAUAGAAUAAAUGUCAUUAAUUUGAUAAAGUGUUGAUAAAUUAAAAUUAAUACAGUGCGUUAAUUUUUCGAAAUUAUAUAAUGGCAUAAUUAUCAUUGAUUUUUAUACCCGAUACUCAAAAUGAGUAUUGGGGUAUAUUAGAUUUGUGGUGAAAGUGGAUGUGUGUAACGUCCAGAAGGAAUCGUUUCCGACCCCAUAAAGUAUAUAUAUUCUUGAUUAGCAUCAAUAGCCGAGUCGAUAGAGCCCUGUCUGUCUGCCCGUCUGUCCGUCCGUCCGUCCGUCUGUCCGUCCCCUUCAGCGCCUAGUGCUCAAAGACUAUAAGAGCUAGAGCAACGAUGUUUUGGAUCCAGACUUCUGUGAUAUGUCACUGCUACAAAAAUAUUUCAAAACUUCGCCCCGCCCACUUUCGCCCACACAAAGGACGAAAAUCUGUGGCAUCCACAUUUUUAAAGAUACGAUAAAACCAAAAACGCAGAAUCGUAGAGGAUCAUAUCUUCUAAAGUGUAAAAUCUCAACCAGAUCGUAUAACUAUUAUAGCCAGAAUCAAGAAAACAAUUUCAUUCUUUCUCGCUCUGUCUCUCUCUAACACACAGGUUUCAUGGUCGGUUUUUCCAAUUGCAAAAUAUGAGUUCAAGGAUCUCAGAACCUAUAAGAGCCAGAGCAACCAAAUUUGGUAUCCACACUCCUGUAAUAUCGGACCUUGACCAUUUUGUGUCCAAAUUUCGCCACACCCCCUUCCGCUCCCACAAAGGACGAAAAUCUGUUGCAUCCACAAUAUUGCAGAUUCGAGAAAACUAAAAAUGCAGAAUCAUAGAUAAGGACCUGAAUUGCUGAAUCUGGAUCAGAUCGGAUAAUUUGUAUAGCCAAAAGCAAGAGAUCAAUUUGCAGUGGCUACGCAGCGCCCGACGUCACGCUCAGACUGAUUUUCUGUCUCUCUCGAACGCACUCUUUGUCGUGUCGUUUAAUAUUAGCGGCGUCUGCCGGAGGAGAGCCAUACUGACUUAGUAUCGGAUAUAACUGUAGAGUUGCGGUGUCCGCAGCAACUCACAACGUUCCCCCUCGUUGAUAACUUUCCUAUUAUUUUCGGUGAAAACAAUGUGUCCUACAAUGUUCACGGCUUACUUCACGUAACAGAGACAGUAAAGCAAGUCGGAAACCCGAUUUUAGGAUCCUCUUACGCUUUUGAAAAUUAUUUGCAAACUCUUAAAAAUUUUGUCCGUAAGCCAACACAUAUCUUAGAACAAAUAUUCAGAGAAACAGUCGAAGAUAGGUACGUUGCUCCCGGUAAAGAACCAGUAUUGUUAGUAAGCAAGGUUUUAAAGAUUCAGAACAGUAACCUAAAAGAUAGUAAGCCAGAUAAUUUUUGCUUUGUGAGAGGAGAUGUUCCUAUUCAAAUCGAGUCAUUUGAAGAGGAAUUAGGAAAGAUUUGUAUUAUAGGUAGAAUAUUUAAAAACAUUAGAUGUUUUUAUAGUGAAAAGUUUUCGGUAGAAGAAUUUGAACGUUUCCCUGCCAUAUAAAGGAGAACUAGUUUUAGUUCCGUUGUUGCAUUUUUCAUAGGUUUAUUUGAUACCUUUACGUAUUUUCAUUUGUAGUAUUUUUUGCUUAUUUUUAAAUGCAUAAAAUGGAGGUGUUUGGUCCGUAGGCGUAAUUGAAUUACGAAUCGGGCAUAUCUUUAGCGCCGGCGCUAAAGAUAUCUUUGGAAGAUUCACCGUCCAGAGUCCGACAAACAAAAAAAAAAAAAUGUUUUAGCAAGAGACGUAUUUUCUUUAUAUUUUCAGUAUGGAAAAUACACAAAAUCCAAAAAUUCGGCGUUUAAUCAUUGAUGCAGAGCGUAAUUAUUAUAUAUUAUUAUAAUUAUAUAAUUUUUGUGCUUGAUGUAUGAAAUAAGUAUUGAUCCAAUUAACAUUGUUUUCACAGAACCGAUGGCAUAAUCUAAUGGCAUAAUCGAUGGCAUAAGCUAAUUUUCGAUUACAACGUGGACGGUACUUUGGAGAAGAGUUCUUUGAAAAAUUUUAAAGAGUUUUACUAUGUCCUGGAAUGUAGGUUUAAAAAAACUUAAAAAAUACAUAAUAAUUAAUUCAUUAUUAUCCAUAUUAUCCAUAUUAUUUCAGCGGCGGUGAACAUGAAAAUACCCAACGAGCUAGCAGAUAAAGUAAUAAGGAAGGCUAUUCAUAAUAUUAAGAAACUAUUUUCAAAAGGGCGCAAGGGAUAAAAAAUACAAAGAAUACGUAGACAAUAAUUAAUAAUAAUUUUUAAUACAUAAAAAUAAUUGGAAAAAUAAACAAUUGAAUGUAUUACUUUUUAAAUUAAAUGCAUGAUUUUUUGGCUUAAAUCAUCACUUAUUAAGUGCAUGAUUUUUCGGGAAAAAUCAUCACUUAUAAAAUGCAUGAUUUUUCGUGAAAAAUCAUCGCUCAUUAAGUGCAUGAUUUUUAGGUUAAAAUCAUCGCUUAUUAUGUGCAUGAUCUUUAGGCAAAAAUCAUGCAUUUAAUAAGCGCUGAUUUAAGCCAAAAAAUCAUCAUCGCUCGAUGACAAUGUCAUCGAUUAUGCCCUAGGUCAUCUCCAUGUUCAAGUAAACAGCUCAGAGUAUGGCCAUUCAUCGACUAUGUCAUCGGCGGUAGUGACGCGGUCAUCGACGUGUCAGCAGCUGAGUCAUCGAUGACCCGUACUGCAGGGUUUUAACGGGUGUAUACGUGUGUAUGCAUGUGUAGCGUUCCGGGCUCUGACGGGGUGCAUGAGACCAUAAGGUGCUGCAACGAACACGCGAUAGGGCAAGAAUCGCCCUGGCACCAGCGCCGUCCUCUUGCCCAUCGUUUCACGUCCCGACCUUUUUGGCUCACACCCACGCAAUUGGAACGAACUCACUCUGAGAGGUUCACGUUGGACAGUCUUCUAUGUAGUCGACACUCUCACGAACUUCAGUGUUCCUCGCCAGGAAACCUUCUGGCCAGAAUCUGUGGGCUGUAUUGCGGGCCGGCUAUGAGCAAAAUUUACUGCAUUAAAUCCUAUUUGGGAGACCCGCCUUGCUUUUUAUACCCGAUACUCAAAAUGAGUAUUGGGGUAUAUUAGAUUUGUGGUGAAAAUGGAUGUGUGUAACGUCCAGAAGGAAUCGUUUCUUGAUCAGCAUCUACAGCCGAGUCGAUUGAGCCCUGUCUGUCUGUCCGUCCGUCCGUCUGUCCGUCCCUAUCAGCGCCUAGUGCUCAAAGACAUGCUCAAAGAUAUGUCACUGCUAAAAGUAUAUUUCAAAACUUUGCCCCGCCCACUUCCGCCCCCACAAAAAGCGAAAAUCUGUGGCUUCCACAAAUUCAAAAAUACGAGAAAACUGAAAACGCAGAAUCGUAGAGGAUGACUAUAUCAUCGAGAGUACAAAAUCUGAACCAGAUCGUAUAAUUAUUAUAGCCAGAAUCAAGAAAACAAUUUCGUUUUUUCUCGCCCUGUCUCUCUCUAACACACAGGUUUCAUGGUCGGUUUUGCCAAUUGCAAAAUAUGAGUUCAAGGAUCUCAGAACCUAUAAGAGCCAGAGCAACCAAAUUUCUUAUCCACCCUCCUGUGAUAUCGGACCUUGAUCAUUUUGUGUCAAAUUUUCGCCACACCCCCUUCCGCCCCCGCAAAGGACGAAAAUCUGAGGCAUCCACAAAUCUCAGAGACUAUUAAGGCUAGAGUAACCAAAUUUGGUACACACACUCCUUUAAGAUGUCACUAUAAAACGUAUAUCUCAAAAUUUCGCCCCACCUCCUUCCGCCCCACAAAGGACGAAAAUCUGUUGCAUCCACAAUAUUGCAGAUUAGAGAAAACUAAAAACGCAGAAUCAUAGAUAAUGACCAUGUCUAUCAGAUUGCUGAAUCUGGAUCAGAUAAGAUCAUUUUUAUAGCCAAAAGGAACAAAUCAGUUUGCACUGGCUAAGCAGCGCCUGACGUCACGCUCAGACUGAUUUUCUGUCUUUCUCGCACGCACUCUUUGUUGUGUCGUUUAAUAUUAGCGCUGUCUGCCGGAGGAGAGCCAUACUGACUUAGUAUCGGCUAUAACUGUAGAGUUGCGGUGUCCGCAGCAACUCACAACGUUCCCCCUCGUUUAUUAUAUGCAUUUCUAUGAUUAACAAUGCGAAAGAUUCAGGAUACCUUCGGGUCCCAUCUUGAAACCAAGGAGUCUAACAUAUGUGCAAAUUAUUGGGAGAUAAACCUAAUAGCGUAAUUAACUUGAGUAAUAAUGGUAUUAGUUUUUAUCUAUUUAUAGAUAAUUAACACAAUCCCGGGGCGUUCUAUAUAGUUAUGUAUAAUAAUAUUUAUAGUAUUUAUGCCUCUAACUGGAACGUACCUUGAGCAUAUAUGCUGUGACCCGAAAGAUGGUGAACUAUACUUGAUCAGGUUGAAGUCAGGGGAAACCCUGAUGGAACACCGAAACAGUUCUGACGUGCAAAUCGAUUGUCAGAAUUGAGUAUAGGGGCGAAAGACCAAUCGAACCAUCUAGUAGCUGGUUCCCUCCGAAGUUUCCCGCAGGAUAGCUGGUGCAUUUUAAUGUUAUAUAAAAUAAUCUUAUCUGGUAAAGCGAAUGAUUAGAGUCCUUAGGGUCGAAACGAUCUUAACCUAUUCUUUAAUGGGUAAGAACCUUAACUUUCUCGAUAUGAAGUUUAAGGUUAUGAAAUAAUGUGCCCAGUGGGCCACUUUUGGUAAGCAGAACUGGCGCUGUGGGAUGAACCAAACGUAAUGUUACGGUGGCCAAAUUAACAACUCAUGCAGAAACCAUGAAAGGCGUUGGUUGCUUAAAACAGCAGGACGGUGAUCAUGGAAGUCGAAAUCCGCUAAGGAGUGUGUAACAACUCACCUGCCGAAGCAACUAGCCCUUAAAAUGGAUGGCGCUUAAGUUGUAUACCUAUACAUUACCGCUAAAGUAGAUGAUUUAUAUUACUUGUGAUAUAAAUUUUGAAACUUUAGUGGGUAGGAAGGUACAAUGGUAUGCGUAGAAGUGUUUGGCGCAAGCCUUCAUGCAGCUGCCAUUGGCACAGAUCUUCGUGGUAGUAGCAAAUAAUCGAAUGAGACCUUGGAGGACUGAAGUGGAGAAGGGUUUCGUGUGAACAGUGGUUGAUCACGAGUUAGUCGGUCCUAAGUUCAAGGCGAAAGCCGAAAAUUUUCAAGUAAAAAAUCAGUGAGUAAUAUUGUCAAAUCUUUUAUGAUUUUUAAAUACUUCAAUAGUUUUGAACGAAAGGGAAUACGCUUCCAAUUCCGUAACCUGUUGAGUAUCCGUUUGCUAUUAAAUAUGGGCCUCGUGCUCAUCCUGGCAACAGGAACGACCAUAAAGAAGCCGUCGAGAGAUAUCGGAAGAGUUUUCUUUUCUGUUUUAUAGCCGUACUACCAUGGAAGUCUUUCGCAGAGAGAUAUGGUAGAUGGGCUAGAAGAGCAAGAAAAGAAGAAGAGAAAAUUUAUGGUGGGGACACGCAAACUUCUCAACAGGCCGUACCAAUAUCCGCACCUGGUCUCCAAGGUGAAGAGUCUCUAGUC